rnacentral:lncRNA from 1 species
UAUGAAUAUUAUUUUACCUUAUGGUAUAUUUUCUGGUAUAAAUAGCCAGUAUUAAUUUUUGUAAGUUGAUAAUGUCUACAUUGGACUUGCUAAUAAAUUCCUCUAUUGAUUCAUAGAGGUUGUUUCUUGAUUCUAUUAAACUUUAUGUAUAGAUGAUAUAUACAAAUUCAUUUGUUCUUUUUCCUUUCAUACCUCUUGUUUUCAUUAUAUUGCACUGUUUCCCUUCAAUUUUGUAUUAAAAAAUAACAUUGAAAGUAGAUACACUUUGAUCUUGUUUUUAAAAGACAUGUUAUUCUAAGUGUAUAUAUAAAUUUGUUUUUUGUUAUAAUUUGGUAUGUAAAUUGUAUCAAGUUACAUAAGCUAAUUUUGAGGAUUUAAUCAUAAAAUAUGAAUUUCAUCAGAUGCUUUAUCUGUGUCUGUUGAGAUAAUGAUGCAAUUUAUUAAGUCAUUAGUAAUUUUUAUUUCAUUGACAGAUUUCCUGACAUUAAACUACUUGUGUUUCUUGAAUAUAUUUAACCAUCCAGUUCAUCAUUCACUGUCAGAUGAAAAUAUUCCAACUGUAAUAUUAUCAAUUUAAAUUAAGGUUCAAAAGUGAAAUGGAGAUAUGAUUUCCUUUCUUAUUUUAAAAAUCAACAUAAUACUCCUAAGAUAUAAGGAAAUAGAAUAAAUACACAACUGUUAAUUUUUUUAUUAAUUUAUAUUUUAUAAAGUUUAAUUUUUCUACGUACAUUUAAAAGCCAUAAUCCUUAAGAUGUAUUUCUGUGAGUUUGUAGAAAUGAAGAUCUUUUGUAUUUUGUUUUGGGGACAUUGUCAAUUAAUAUAUAUCAAAAUAUAUUGCUGUGUAUUUAUUGCAUUAUUUGGGGUAUAUCUAUUUUUAUGCAAUUCUUUUACUUUUAGGGUUUUAUAUUUUAUCUAUUUCCACAUAUCUUGUUUUUUUCUUGAAUAGUUUUUUCAGAUAUUUUUAGAUUCCAAUUAAUUAGAUUCCAAUUUACUUUUAUUAAUCUUCUUUUAAAACUACAUACAUUGUGAUGUCACUUUUGAUCAUAACAGCGUCCUCUAUUUCAUAGCUUUCCUCCUCCAUCUUUGUUAUAUCUUUUCUUACUUCUUUGGGUUGUUUAGUUCCUGUUCUAGUUUUUGUGUUCAUAGUUUGCACACUCUUUUUCAUUCAUUUUUCUAACAAAUGUAUUUAAAGUUAUAAAUUUCCUUUUAAAGGAUGUUUUAUUACAUUUUGUGUACUUUUAUAGUAUUCUAGUUUUAUGUGUUCUAUGAGAUUUUUUUAAAUUUCUUUUCUAAUCCAAGGGUAAUACAGUAGUAUGUUACUUUCUAGAAUAUGCUUUUAAAGCUCUGCUUUAUUACUGAUUUCAAUUGUGAGAGAAUAUAUUCUGAAUGAUGAUUCUUCAGAACUAGAGACUUUCUUUUCAUCUGCUACAUCAUUAUAGUUGUCAGUGCUCUAUGUAUAGCCAAAAAUAAUGUUAUUCACUAUUAGAUUUAAAUUUCAUGUUUGUGGAAUUCCCCUUGUGGUUCAGGCUGGUUAAGAGCCCGACAUAGUGUCCGCGAGGAUGUGGGUUUGAUGCCUGGCCUCGCUCAUUGGGUUAAGGAUCUGUAGCUGCUGCAAGCUGUGGUGUAGGUCACAGAUGUGGCUUGGUGUUGCUGUGGCCGUGGUGUAGGCCAGCACUGCAGUUCUGAUUGGACCCCUAGCCUGGGAACUUCUAUGUGCCACAGGUGCAGCCCUAAAAAGGGAAAAAGUAAUUAUGUUUGUGUGCAUGUGCAUAUCUAUGUAUAUAUACAAACAUAAAUACAUACUUGUAUAUAUUAUGUAUGUGUAUAAAAUAUAUAAUUUUAAUUUUAUUCAAAUUUUAUGAGUUUUAAAAAAAUCUGGUUGGUUUAUCAGUUUCCUAGAGAGCACUUUAAAAGCCUUUGACUCUCAUUGACAGCUAAUCUGUGGUUCCAUGUCCUGGAAACCAAGGACUUCUCCUGCUUUGGGCUUUGCUCCACUUCCUGGCUCUUCUAAUGAACCCACUGCCCUCAGACUGAGCUCCCUGGCCCGCAUCAGAGAUAAGGGGGGAGCCAGCCAGCUGUUCACACUGCUUAUUUUCUUGGUAGACAGAAGCCAAGUAUUCAGACCACAUUUUGUAAAGUAUGCACGCUUCUUAUGUUUUCCUGCUUUCAAUAUCCCUGCCAAUCAUUUUAUAAAUGGAUUUAACAUUUGGACCUUCUAGUUUUAUUUUUGACGAGUGGAAAGGUUUCUUAAAGUAUUAUUUUACCCUAAACAGCAUGUGAAUAGACUUUCUGAGUCCUCGCCUAUCUAAAUACAUUUGUACCCCCUUAAAGCAAAACCAGCUCUUAAUAAACACACAGUGAAUUAGAACCUCUUUCUCUUUUUCCUCCAUCAUAUCAAAUAAGAGCUUCUGUAAUGGCUGUGUUUAUUAUUUAUUGCUAUAUACUGUAGUAGAGAUAUCUGGAAACAUCUGCUUCUGUCUCAUUGAUAGGUAGCCUUUUGGCUUUUGACUUUGUAUUUUAGGGUCACUUCUUACUUCUAAGUCAAAUCUUAUUCUGUUAUCUGUUUUCUUGCCUUUUUUGUCCUUUUUAUAUCCCUUAAGUUAUUUUAAAUCACUGUAGGGGAGUUCCUGUCGUGGCUCAGUGGUUAAUGAAUCCAACUAGGACCCCUGAGGUUGCUGGUUGGAUCCCUGGCCUUGCUCAGUGGGUUAAGGAUCCAGCGUAGCCAUGAGCUGUGGUGUGGGUUGAAGAAGCAGCUCAGAUCCCAAGUUGCUGUGGCUGUGGUAUAGGCUGGCAGCUACAGCUCCAAUUCGAACCCUAGCCUCGGAACCUCCAUAUGCCACAGGUGCGGCCCUAGAAAA